UGGGGGAUAUUGCACAAUGGGCGAAAGCCUGAUGCAGCGACGCCGCGUGGGGGAUGAAGGCUUUCGGGUUGUAAACCUCUUUCGCUAUCGAACAAGGCCCGCUUAGGGUGGGUUGAGGGUAGGUGGAGAAGAAGCGCCGGCUAACUACGUGCCAGCAGCCGCGGUAAUACGUAGGGCGCGAGCGUUGUCCGGAAUUAUUGGGCGUAAAGGGCUUGUAGGCGGCUUGUUGCGCCUGCUGUGAAAACGCGGGGCUUAACUUCGCGCGUGCAGUGGGUACGGGCAGGCUUGGGUGUGGUAGGGGUGACUGGAAUUCCAGGUGUAGCGGUGGAAUGCGCAGAUAUCUGGAGGAACACCGAUGGCGAAGGCAGGUCACUGGGCCAUUACUGACGCUGAGGAGCGAAAGCAUGGGUAGCGAACAGG
rnacentral:rRNA from 1 species